UCUGAGCUGCAAAACCAUGAAUAUCUUUUUUUUUUGUUUUUGUUUUACCUACGUCUAUUCUGGGAGAAGACAAAUUUUGUAAUUUUAAGAAUGUCAAAAGAAAAUUGAACGAGAGAUGGCUGGUUAGUACAUGCAGAGUGGCUGUAUGCGAAGAAUCAGAACAAGGCGGCUUACAAGUGAAACUUUUCUCGACUGGAGGAUCGGGAAGGGUCUUAUUCAACAACCAACGACACUGCGACGUGUCGAGCAGGUCGAAAAUCACCGAUGUGGCCAACUGCGCCGCCGAUAGCUCAAUCAACUGCCCAACCGGAUGCUUACACGAAGGCAAGUACAGAAGACACGGAGAGACUAGGCCGGUCGCAGGAUGCAGGGGUGCAUCCUGUUGGGCACCUGACAAUGGACCAGAACAUGUGACUAUCAUCCCCUGUCAACCUGUCUACGCUGACCUUACUCCCAGUCAGGUUAAUCAAGGUUGCAGAAUCGUUUUUAAUAUGACAGAAGUUUAUCCUUCUUGUUGCUAUCCUAAAGUGGUAUGCGACAAUGCACACACAAGCAAUAGUUUCAGAGUUUUAAACAAAAUAGAAUAUGACGAGUACGAGUGGGAUUAGGGCGAGGCUUGUUCGCCAAAGCAGUGAGUCGCUGCGUUACGAACUGUUACAUGUUUGAAUAAUAAGACUCUUGAACACGACAAACUUGCAAUGAUUUUCUAAAAGACAUCAUCAUACGCUGCCCAAUGUUGUACCGAAGUGAGAAAAUGUUCCGAGUUUCAGCUUUGAGUUUUCCGCAGUCUGCAGGCUGCAGAUAGAGUCGGGUCAGACGAAUCGAUACUCGGUGCCGGCGGUGCCUGGCUUGUUUUGGACUGAACGGGCGCCAGACCCAGACUGCGAUUUUUAACUUUUGAACCCCCUUUGGACCAUCACCAAAUCCGAUAAAUUAGCCGGGUCGUCGCCAUGUACAAACCAAACCCUACGUACUUUAAAUCAAUAUAAUUCUACACAAUAAAAA